GAUGAACGCUGGCGGCGUGCCUAAUACAUGCAAGUCGAGCGAACGGACGUGAGGUUUCCUUCUCUGUUGUUAGCCGCAGACGGGUGAGUAACACGUGGAUAACCUACUUCUAACUCUGGUAUAACUUCGGGAAACGGUCUCUAAUACCGUAUAAUCUUUUUAACGGCUUGUUUCAAGAAUGAUAUUUGGUCUUACUAUCACCUAUCGGCGGAUCCGCUUUGCGGUAGCUAGUUGGUCUGGUAACGGCUUACCAAGGCAACGAUGCAUAACCGACCUGAGCGGGUGAUCGGCCACACUGGAACUGAGAGACGGUCCAGAGUCCUACGGGAGGCAGCAGUAGCGACGCUUCCGCAAUGGGCGAAAGCCUGACGGAGCAGCGCCGCGUGAGUGGUGAAGGUCUUCGGAUCGUAAGACGCUGUUAUGAGGGAAGAACACAUGUGUAAGUAACUGUGCACAUCUUGACGGUACCUGAAUAAGAAGCCACGGCUAACUACGUG
rnacentral:rRNA from 1 species